rnacentral:rRNA from 1 species
GUGCUAAGUGUUAGGGGGUUUCCGCCCCUUAGUGCUGCAGCUAACGCAUUAAGCACUCCGCCUGGGGAGUACGACCGCAAGGUUGAAACUCAAAGGAAUUGACGGGGGCCCGCACAAGCGGUGGAGCAUGUGGUUUAAUUCGAAGCAACGCGAAGAACCUUACCAGGUCUUGACAUCCUUUGACCACUCUGGAGACAGAGCUUUCCCUUCGGGGACAAAGUGACAGGUGGUGCAUGGUUGUCGUCAGCUCGUGUCGUGAGAUGUUGGGUUAAGUCCCGCAACGAGCGCAACCCUUGAUUUUAGUUGCCAGCAUUUAGUUGGGCACUCUAAAGUGACUGCCGGUGCAAGCCGGAGGAAGGUGGGGAUGACGUCAAAUCAUCAUGCCCCUUAUGACCUGGGCUACACACGUGCUACAAUGGAUAGUACAAAGGGUCGCGAAGCCGCGAGGUGGAGCUAAUCCCAUAAAACUAUUCUCAGUUCGGAUUGUAGGCUGCAACUCGCCUACAUGAAGCCGGAAUCGCUAGUAAUCGUGGAUCAG